GAUGAACGCUGGCGGCGUGCCUAAUACAUGCAAGUCGAACGCGAGAGGAGGGAGCUUGCUCCCUCUGAUCGAGUGGCGGACGGGUGAGUAACACGUAGGCAACCUGCCCAUCAGCCGGGGAUAACUGCGGGAAACCGUGGCUAAUACCGGAUAAUCCUCUCCACCGCGGGGUGGGGAGUUGAAAGACGGUUUCGGCUGUCGCUGAUGGAUGGGCCUGCGGCGCAUUAGCUGGUUGGCGGGGUAACGGCCCACCAAGGCAACGCUGCGUAGCCGACCUGGGAGGGUGAUAGGCCACACUGGGACUGAGACACGGCCCAGACUCCUACGGGAGGCAGCAGUAGGGAAUCUUCCGCAAUGGACGCAAGUCUGACGGAGCAACGCCGCGUGAGUGAAGAAGGGUUUCGGCUCGUAAAACUCUGUUGUUAAGGAAGAACGCCAGGUAGAGUAACUGCUACCUGUGUGACGGUACUUAACCAGAAAGCCACGGCUAACUACGUGCCAGCCGCCGCCGUAA
rnacentral:rRNA from 1 species